rnacentral:rRNA from 1 species
GAUGAACGCUGGCGGCGUGCCUAAUACAUGCAAGUCGAGCGAACGGACGAGAAGCUUGCUUCUCUGAUGUUAGCGGCGGACGGGUGAGUAACACGUGGAUAACCUACCUAUAAGACUGGGAUAACUUCGGGAAACCGGAGCUAAUACCGGAUAAUAUUUUGAACCGCAUGGUUCAAAAGUGAAAGACGGUCUUGCUGUCACUUAUAGAUGGAUCCGCGCUGCAUUAGCUAGUUGGUAAGGUAACGGCUUACCAAGGCAACGAUGCAUAGCCGACCUGAGAGGGUGAUCGGCCACACUGGAACUGAGACACGGUCCAGACUCCUACGGGAGGCAGCAGUAGGGAAUCUUCCGCAAUGGGCGAAAGCCUGACGGAGCAACGCCGCGUGAGUGAUGAAGGUCUUCGGAUCGUAAAACUCUGUUAUUAGGGAAGAACAUAUGUGUAAGUAACUGUGCACAUCUUGACGGUACCUAAUCAGAAAGCCACGGCUAACUACGUGCCAGCAGCCGCGGUAAUACGUAGGUGGCAAGCGUUAUCCGGAAUUAUUGGGCGUAAAGCGCGCGUAGGCGGUUUUUUAAGUCUGAUGUGAAAGCCCACGGCUCAACCGUGGAGGGUCAUUGGAAACUGGAAAACUUGAGUGCAGAAGAGGAAAGUGGAAUUCCAUGUGUAGCGGUGAAAUGCGCAGAGAUAUGGAGGAACACCAGUGGCGAAGGCGACUUUCUGGUCUGUAACUGACGCUGAUGUGCGAAAGCGUGGGGAUCAAACAGGAUUAGAUACCCUGGUAGUCCACGCCGUAAACGAUGAGUGCUAAGUGUUAGGGGGUUUCCGCCCCUUAGUGCUGCAGCUAACGCAUUAAGCACUCCGCCUGGGGAGUACGACCGCAAGGUUGAAACUCAAAGGAAUUGACGGGGACCCGCACAAGCGGUGGAGCAUGUGGUUUAAUUCGAAGCAACGCGAAGAACCUUACCAAAUCUUGACAUCCUUUGACGACUCUAGAGAUAGAGCUUUCCCCUUCGGGGGACAAAGUGACAGGUGGUGCAUGGUUGUCGUCAGCUCGUGUCGUGAGAUGUUGGGUUAAGUCCCGCAACGAGCGCAACCCUUAAGCUUAGUUGCCAUCAUUAAGUUGGGCACUCUAAGUUGACUGCCGGUGACAAACCGGAGGAAGGUGGGGAUGACGUCAAAUCAUCAUGCCCCUUAUGAUUUGGGCUACACACGUGCUACAAUGGACAAUACAAAGGGCAGCGAAACCGCGAGGUCAAGCAAAUCCCAUAAAGUUGUUCUCAGUUCGGAUUGUAGUCUGCAACUCGACUACAUGAAGCUGGAAUCGCUAGUAAUCGUAGAUCAGCAUGCUACGGUGAAUACGUUCCCGGGUCU